GGGGGAUGGGCGGGUCAUGGAGCUUUCAAAAAGGAGAUAUCGAAGAAUUAUCUUGUAAGGAGACACUAACAGGAAGAAGAGCUGCAAACAACGCUGAGAGAGUGAAGCGCAAGAAGAGAGAGUAGUUACUAGGAAUAAUUUACAAAGAGACUGAUAAUAACCAUUAAUAAGAUCGAACAAAUGUCACAGUAUACUGUGAUCAAAGCUGCAGAACGGUGGGCUCCCUCAGAAUGGCUGCCAAGGGAUCAGCAGGCUUCCUAUUGCUAAACGGUACCGAGGGCUAUAAACAGUGGAUUUGCGGCUGGACAGACUGUUGGAGAUUCAAGGUUAGGGUAAGCGACUGUGAGGAAAGAACAAAUUGACCAUGACAAAGUAAACACGGAAGCCUUUGCCCUCUCUCUCCUCGGAAUGCUAAUGAUCC
rnacentral:lncRNA from 1 species